rnacentral:rRNA from 1 species
AGGGGUGAAAGGCCAAUCAAACUUCGUGAUAGCUGGUUCUCCCCGAAAUGCAUUUAGGUGCAGCGUUGCGUGUUUCUUGCCGGAGGUAGAGCUACUGGAUGGCCGAUGGGCCCUACAAGGUUACUGACGUCAGCCAAACUCCGAAUGCCGGUAAGUGAGAGGACGGCAGUGAGACUGUGGGGGAUAAGCUUCAUAGUCGAGAGGGAAACAGCCCAGAUCAUCAGCUAAG